rnacentral:rRNA from 1 species
UACAGAGGUCCCAAGCGUUUGUUCGGAUUCACUGGGCGUAAAGGGUGCGCAGGUGGUUUGGCAAGUUUGACGUGAAAGCCCCGGGCUUAACCCGGGAAUGGCGUUGAAAACUGCUUGAACUGGAGGGUUGGAGGGGGACUGGAAUUCUUGGUGUAGCAGUGAAAUGCGUAGAUAUCAAGAGGAACACCAGUGGCGAAGGCGAGUCCCUGGACAAUACCUGACACUGAGGCACGAAAGCCAAGGGAGCAAACAGG